rnacentral:rRNA from 1 species
UACAGAGGGGGCAAGCGUUGUUCGGAAUUACUGGGCGUAAAGGGCGCGUAGGCGGCCUUCUAAGUCAGACGUGAAAUCCCUCGGCUCAACCGGGGAACUGCGUCUGAGACUGGAAGGCUUGAGUCCGGGAGAGGGAUGUGGAAUUCCAGGUGUAGCGGUGAAAUGCGUAGAUAUCUGGAGGAACACCGGUGGCGAAGGCGGCAUCCUGGACCGGUAUUGACGCUGAGGCGCGAAAGCCAGGGGAGCAAACGGG